rnacentral:rRNA from 1 species
AGUGCACGGUGGCCCUGUUUGCUUGCUUUGGCUCCGGUCAGGGUGGCGGCAGCGGAACUACCCCGUGCAUCAAACUGUCCGCUCUAACAGGCCGAAGCGGUUCCCUGUGAGUAGACUCCUUAAUUGGGGUUGAAAGCGCCUACGCAUCAACCACAUGCAUACGGGACGUCGGCCAAUGUUACUGUGAACAAACCAGCGUGUCCAAAGCAGGCUUGCCUGAAUGUUCGAGCAUGGAAUAACAAGGGAUCGAUUCUCUCGGUUCUUUUUGUUGGUUUUUAACCCGAGAAGGAGUAAUGCAGGCCACGGUGUCUGAGGUGGGUUUCCCUAGGCUUCGGUUUAGGCCCCAUCUAGGCCGUGUCCUUACGGGAUCAAUAGGGACUGACGGGGUCGUACCUACUUCCGCGUCAGAGGUGAAAUUCUUAGAUCGCGGGAAGAGGAACUUCUGCGAAAGCAUUCGACAAGAAUGUCUUCAUUAAUCAAGAACGAGAGUGUGGGGAUCGAAGAUGAUCAGAUACCGUCGUAGUCCACACUGUAAACAAUGCCGUCUCAGGAUUGAGAAGUGAACAGAAUGACUUUCACAGCACUAACCCCUGAAACGAGAAAUCGAAGAUUAUGGGUUCAGGGGGGAGUACAUUCGCAAGGCUGAAACUUAAAGGAAUUGACGGAAUGAC